CACGUAGGGUGCGAGCGUUGUCCGGAAUUAUUGGGCGUAAAGAGCUCGUAGGCGGUGUGUCGCGUCGGCCGUGAAAACCUGCAGCUUAACUGUGGGCGUGCGGUCGAUACGGGCAUCACUGGAGUUCGGCAGGGGAGACUGGAAUUCCCGGUGUAGUGGUGAAAUGCGUAGAUAUCGGGAGGAACACCAGUGGCGAAGGCGACUUCCUGGCCUGUUCUUGACGCUGAGGCGCGAAAGCUAGGGGAGCAAACGGG
rnacentral:rRNA from 1 species